UCCUCCCAGAUUGUUGUCUCAUGUUUCAGCUUUGUCUCCAUUUACAAACUAAAGUGAGAUACCAGUCCUGGAUAUAAAAUGAAAUUCCAGUUUUUGGAGAGGGCACUGAAAGCACAAUUUCAUUGUCAGAACACACCAAAAUAAGAUAACAAAGUUUCUGGAUGCUGGAUGAUCCUCUUCGCUAUCUGUCAGGAGAGGGGAAAUUCUACCUCCAAGAGGACACAUUUCUUGAGAUAUCUACACCCGGGACAGAGAAGCUUGUAACAAGGUGCUAACUAUAAAAUGCCGAGAUGGUGGGACUGAGGUCAUUUCGCUGGACAAUUAAUCCUGAACCUUAGUAUCAGGACCUGAGAACAUGGACCUCAAACUCAUAGAAAAUGUUCACAUUUGAAUCUAGAAAAUAUCUGGAAUUUAAAACUAAUGGUGACCAUGCAAUUAUUUUUGUAAAAACCCACCUGGUUCACUAAUGUCUUUUAGAGAAGGAAACUGCUAUCCUCACCUGGUCUAACCCUUGUGUGACUCCAGAGCAUUUGCAAUAGCACUGACCCUUAACUACCCUCUGAAAUGACCUUGCAAGCUACUCACGGGCAAUUGAGGAUGGAGAACAAAUGCUGGCUCAGGCACUAACACCUACAUUCCCCGUGAAGUAAUAUUUAAAAAAUGAUCAGCCAGUUUAAGAAACAAUGUUCCAUCAUUAAUAGCAGAGGGUCUACAUAUUCCCCCAGGAUUUUGAGACCUAGACUGAAGGUUGAUAAGUUCCAAAAGCAGAACCAUACUGAGAUUCGCAGCCUCAUUGUCAUCUCUGAAGUCUCACCUCAGCUGGGUAGAUCAAUUGGAUCCUCACUACCUUCAGGAUCGAUUCAAGCCAAGAAUGGGCGGGUCAAUGGCAGGGACAGUCUGGGCAAUGAAUUUCAAAGGAUUUAACUCGCCAUUGAUCCAAACUUGCCAGCCUUGUCUAAAAUCUUUAAAAUUACUCUCAAUGUCUCUAAAAGUCUCCCCAUCACCACUGCAAGCUUCUCCUUACAGUGAUCAAGAUGCAGAAUGAACUUCAACACCAGGAAAGGAAGGCAGAGUUAUCUGAAUUAUUUUAAAAUCAUAGUUGGAAUUUGCAAUAGGAAACUAAGACAGAUUUUUCUGAACUGAAAUGGAUGGAGAGAAUUUCCUCUCCUGUAUCUUGUGAUUUUAUUCACUGGGAAGAGAGAAAGAAAAAUCAUGGACAACAAGGUGUAGAGCUGGAUGAACACAGCAGGCCAAGCAGCAUCAG